rnacentral:tRNA from 1 species
GGUGGAUAAGUUUCACUUACAAUGAAGAUAACCUUAAGGGCACUCUUAUAUUUAUGAGUAAGCUAUAA